AAGUAAGAAGCGAUUGACGCAAUCAAUUUCGACCUGAUCUUAGAUAAAUUUUAUCCUUACUUA
rnacentral:tRNA from 1 species